GUUUUCGUGGUGUAUUGGUUAUCACGUGUGCUUCAUACGCACAAGGUCCUCGGUUCGAUCCCGAGCGAAAACA